GGAGGGUUGGCUGAGUGGUUCAAAGCGACGGUCUCGAAAACCGUUCUCCCUUUCGGGAGGCACAGGUUCGAAUCCUGUACCCUCCGCCC
rnacentral:tRNA from 1 species